UAUAUCCGUCGUGUUGGGUUCGCCGUCCGUUCUUCAAUCAUUUACGCGUAUCUCAUACCACCAUUUGUUCUCCCUUACAUCGUUUAUUAUGGAGGACCAGGAGAUGCAGCUCAAAGUUAAGCGAGUAACGGACAAAUUCACAGAGAGCAUGUACGUCUUGGCAAACGAACCAUCUGUGGCCCUCUACCGACUGCAAGAACACGUCCGAAGGUCGCUACCAGAGCUUGUACAACAUAAGACAGAUAUGCAGAGCUGGGAGGAGCAGAGCCAAGGUGCCAUUUACAGUGUGGAGUAUGCAUGCAGUGCUGUGAAGAGCAUGACAAACAGCACCCUAUAUUUCAAAAGCAUAGACGGCCUUCUACGUCAAGCCAUCAGCAUGAAAGAACAGAUUGGCAGCUCCCAAGGACGCAGUUUAAAUGAUGUGAUCCCCUCUCCCAUCCCCUCUGUCCCUGCUCCACAUCCCCCACCCACUUCCUCAUGACCUCUGUUGGACGUGUCCAAGCCUGGCUCUGAGGCCCUCCAGAAGGAGAGUAUGGCUGGUGGUGGUGGUGUUGAUCCCGCUGUUUCGGGUUUGCACAUGGAGGAAAGGAGAUCUGACGGUGGAGGAAAAGGACCAUGGAUCCAGGCAUUCUGAAGGAAGGGGGAGAGAAGCACAGCUCUGGAAUGUGAAAAUACGUUUUUUUUUCAGGGGUGCUGCUGCAGCAUUCUCUCCCUCUGUUCCCCUCUUGAUAGAGGCUGAAGUGAGGCCCAAAGGGCAACACCUCCCUCGUCACAAUGGAGCAACUGCCUCCAGUGACCCCCACCACCACCACCACCUCCAAACAAGCAGCUCAGCGGAUAGAGGACCCACACCACUGCCAGGUUCUGCAGUAAAAAAAAAAAAACUCAUGCAGUGGCCACCGCUCAAAGAAGGCUUUGUUCACCUGGACACACCAGUGAAAAAGCAGUAGUGCAGCAGUUUUCCCUCUGCUGUUGAAAUCCUCCUGCUUACGUUUGGACCUUACUUUUUUUAAGCUGCGCCAUUACGGCAGUCGAAUUAAGUUGAGCACAAACAACUGAUUGUUUAUUUGUGAAGUCUGUUGUAAAAGGAUGAAAUGAUUUAAGAAUUAAUCUGCUUUGUAAUGAAUUGUACUUGACAUGCAUAUGGAUAAGGUACACAUGUGUGGCCACAGGACUGGGGGAGAAUGCUGGUGACUUAACAGCACCUCAGCGCUCUUAAAUGGCAAACUUGGCAACAUGUUCUUACAGAAAGCCGAUAAAGAAAGAAUGACAUGUUAUUUCUGUCUCGUAAUUUUACCUGCCAGGUACACCGAAACCCCAAGGCAGAACAGUCCAAUAGCCACAUGUCUCACAGCUCUGCUGUCCAGCAGGAACCAGUCUGCUCUGUGGAGGAAAAAAUGGCAAAAAUAUCAACUUACAAGUGUCAUAGCUGCUAAGUUUUUAUAUAUAUAUAUGUGUUUACCAUGUGACAUUGCAGCUUUGUUUUAACACAUACAGCCAUUUAUAAUUGAGUUUUAUUUCCUUGGAUCUUAGCUGUGUUGUCAGUGGAUGACUGAAAUUUGUUUGUUCUCGUUAUUUUUCGGUUAUGUUGAUAAAUCUGACCUUUAAAGUCAUGCAGUGUGUGAUUAUUGAUUCUUCUGUUUGCAUUAUCUCCAUGUUAAAUAUAUUGUUUAAAGUAAAUUGAUAUUUG